UACGGGGGGGGCAAGCGUUGUUCGGAAUUACUGGGCGUAAAGGGCUCGUAGGCGGCCAACUAAGUCCGACGUGAAAUCCCCAGGCUUAACCUGGGAACUGCGUCGGAUACUGGUUGGCUUGAGUCCGGGAGAGGGAUGCGGAAUUCCAGGUGUAGCGGUGAAAUGCGUAGAGAUCUGGAAGAACACCAAAGGCGAAGGCAGCAUCCUGGGAAGACCCUGACGCUGAGGUGCGAAAGCUAGGGGAGCGAACGGG
rnacentral:rRNA from 1 species